AACUUACCAUAUAAACAAUCUCAAAUUUCAAACUUAAUAAUUUUCGAUGCAAUAUAUCUUAGAAAACAUGACUUGAAUUUACAUGAUCAGGCAAUAGGUACUUGAAUUCAGGAUUAAAAAAGCAGAUGGUGAUAAGUAUAGCAUGAAUUUGAAAUCCUUGACACCAACAAAAACACUCACAACUGAGCGAAGAAUCACUCAGCAUGCAAAAUACCACCAAACAAGCAUCUACAAACGCAAACAAUUCCAUUUGGGCUUGAGGGUUGGGCUGUUGGGCUUCUAUUUGGGCCGUUUCC
rnacentral:lncRNA from 1 species